CUUGAGAGUUUGAUCCUGGCUCAGAACGAACGCUGGCGGCAGGCCUAACACAUGCAAGUCGAACGCCCUCUUCGGAGGGAGUGGCAGACGGGUGAGUAACGCGUGGGAACCUACCCAAGGGUACGGGACAACUCAGGGAAACUUGAGCUAAUACCGUAUACGUCCUUAGGGAGAAAGAUUUAUCGCCCCUGGAUGGGCCCGCGUUGGAUUAGCUAGUUGGUGGGGUAAUGGCCUACCA
rnacentral:rRNA from 9 species